rnacentral:rRNA from 1 species
AGGGUUUGAUCCUGGCUCAGGACAAACGCUGGCGGAAUGUAUUAGGCAUGCAAGUCGUACGAGCCUUCGGGCUAGUGGCGAACGGGUGAGUAACACGUGGGUAACCUGCCCCGUAGUGGGGAAUAACUCCUCGAAAGGGGAGCUAAUACCGCAUAAGACCCCCGGUGAGAGUCCGGGUGGUGAAAGCUCCGGCGCUACGGGAGGGGCCCGCGGCCGAUUAGCUAGUUGGUGGGGUAAUGGCCUACCAAGGCGACGAUCGGUAGCUGGUCUGAGAGGACGAUCAGCCACACGGGGACUGAGAUACGGCCCCGACUCCUACGGGAGGCAGCAGCUAAGAAUCUUGCGCAAUGGGCGAAAGCCUGACGCAGCAAUUCCGCGUGGAGGACGAAGGCCUUCGGGUUGUAAACUCCUUUUGUGAGGGAAGAAGUUCUGACGGUACCUCACGAAUAAGACACGGCUAACUACGUGCCAGCAGCCGCGGUAAUACGUAGGUGUCGAGCGUUGUCCGGAUUUAUUGGGCGUAAAGCGCCCGCAGGCGGCCAGGCAAGUCCAGGGUGAAAUCUCCCGGCUCAACCGGGAGGGUGCCCUGGAAACUGCUUGGCUUGAGGCAGGGAGAGGGAUGUGGAAUUCCCGGUGUAGUGGUGAAAUGCGUAGAUAUCGGGAGGAACACCAGUGGCGAAGGCGGCAUCCUGGCCCUGUCCUGACGCUCAGGGGCGAAAGCGUGGGGAGCAAACCGGAUUAGAUACCCGGGUAGUCCACGCCGUAAACGAUGAGUACUAGGUGUUGGAGGUAUCGACCCCUUUCAGUGCCGAAGCCAACGCGAUAAGUACUCCGCCUGGGGACUACGGCCGCAAGGCUAAAACUCAAAGGAAUUGACGGGGGCCCGC